rnacentral:sRNA from 2 species
AGACUCCCUGCGACAAGGACUGUGUACUGCAUGAAUGAGGCCGAGAUAGUCGAUGUUGCUCUGGGAAUCCUGAUUGAGGUUCCCAGUUGGGUAGAUGACUUCUUAGCCAUUGCCCCUCUCCUGA